CAUCAACACGCAGCCCAACGCACGUUUUGCUUUCUCGAAAAUUCUCCUGUUUGCUCUAACCAAAUAACCCACCACGUCCCCGGCUCCUUACCCUCCUGUGCACCCCUUUUGAGGCUACUCGCUUCCUAAAUCUCCUGAGGGUGGGCAGUUAUGAAGAAAGAGUUUAUUUUGGAGGAGUUCUUUUAAUUAAUAGAAUUAAAGUACCAGGGCAGCCAGAGAAGAGAAGAUCCAUCGUCUCAAUCUCUUCUAAACAAAUUAAAAGCACAAUUCUCGUCCCCGCUCCGUCCCCUCUUCAGAAGGUUAUCCAUAGUGAGCACAUAUUUUUUCAACACUAAUUAACCACACAAAAAUCUUAAGUUUGACAGAAGAUUUGAUCUUCCAUAGGCGGACAGAUCUCUUAGGCUGCGUUUGGUUUGGAUAUAAGUAAGAACUGCUUAUUCUAGGGAUAGGUAUAAGUUCAAGUAUAAGUAGGAACUAGACCAAUUUUGCGUUUGGAUGAAAAUUGGGUUGUUUUUAAGAAUAAGGGGUGUUUGGAUGGUUAGAUUGGAAUAAAGUGAAUAAGAGUUAUAAUUUUAAGUUAAAAUUAUUUUAUCUAAUUAAUUAACAUCAAAAUAUUACUUAGAAAUAGUAAAUUAAUAUUAAUAAUUCUAAACAAUAAAUUGAUUAAAUAAUAAAUUAAAUAAUAAAUUAUAAAUAAUUAUAAAUGAUAAAUUAUUAAUAAUUAUAAAUUAUAAAUUAAUUAAUUAAUAAUAAAUAAUUAUGAAUAAUAAAUUAUUAGUUAAUAAUAAAUUAUUAACAAUAAAUUAACUAGAUAAUAUAGUAUAAAUAAUAAAUUAAUAAUAAUUAUAAAUAAUAAAAUAAUUGAUUAAUAAUAAAAGUAAAUAAUUAUAAAAUAAUAAAAUUUAAAUAAUAAAUUAUAAAUAAUAUAGUAUUAUAAAUUAUAAAUAUUAAAUCAUUACUAAUUAUAAAUUAUAAAUUAAUUAAUAAGUAAUAAAAUUAAAAUUUAAUUAAUUAUUACUAAUUAUAAAUAAUAAUAUAUUAAUUAAUAAUAAAUUAAAAAAUUAAUAUUAAAUUAAUAAUAAUUAUAAAUAAUAAAUAAUAAAUAAUAAUAAUUUAAUUGUUGAUACCAAAAAAUUAACACGCCGACCUGACCCACAUAUGAGCCAAAGAUAUAAGGACGUGGUACACUAAGAGUUGACAAUAAGGCGCCUGAAGUUCAAGAGUAUUUAGGCAGAAACGGUUGAGAAGUGGGGUAUAACUUCCAUGAGAAGUGGGGCGUAACUUUCAUGAUCAUGGCUACACCACUUUCUCCACUACUAUAACCAACCAAUAAUGCGGGCUGAUAAGAUAUUAUAAGUAGUAACUUUGAAAUCGACCAUCCCUAGAGCAUGUGGCAAAGGGCUUGAUGGUUGGUACCUGAGACCCAAGUUUGAAUCCUAGUUGAUUCACAUUUCCAGCUAAGUUUAUUUCUAAAUGAAAUAAACGAAGCGGGUAGCGUGCUAUCUAUCUCUCUCAAAAAAAAAAAAAGUAACUUUGAAGCCUGUAAAAGAGGUCUUUCUCUUCCCUAAACAAGAAGACCACUGCAUUUUCAAUACUUUCCUUUCCUGCAUUUAUCGUUUUCUAGAAGUAGUCUACAUAUAAUCUUUUUUACCCACAUUUACUGCUUUCCUAAAAGUAGUUUUUAAGUUAGAUCUCUGGAGUCUGUAUGCCCCACGGGCACACUCUGUUGUAAUCUAGAUUUUUAGAGUUUGUAUACCCUUCGGGCACACUUUGUUUUGUAUGAGUUCCCAACUUCAUUUUAAUAUAUAAAGGCAUUCGGCUCUUUCAGCCGACCAGUCACUGUGUAUUCCAUCUAUUCAGCUUAUCAGUUGACCCAAAACCUAGUGAAUUCUGUACGUUCGACUCUUCUGCCGACCCAAGUUUUUGUGCAGUCCAUACAUUCGGCUCAUCCAGCCGAAUCGAUUCUACAGUAGAGGAUUUUGAACUCGGCUGAUCCGAUCCCUCGUCAGCCGAAUCGCUUGAUCCAGUUGAAGGGCGCAAACUUCGAGGGUCACUAAUCGUAGCCAUUCCACAUCUCGACACGCUUUC
rnacentral:lncRNA from 1 species